CUACGGGUGGCUCCAGUGAGGAAUAUUGCACAAUGGGGGGAACCCUGACGCGGCAACGCCGCGUGGAGGAUGACGCAUUUCGGUGUGUAAACUCCUUUUAUAUGUCAAGAAAAUGACGGUAGCAUAUGAAUAAGCACCGGCUAACUCCGUGCCAGCAGCCGUGGUAAUACGGAGGGUGCAAGCGUUACUCGGAAUCACUGGGCGUAAAGGACGCGUAGGCGGGUUGGAAAGUCAGGUGUGAAAUCCUACAGCUUAACUGUAGAACUGCACUUGAAACUUCUAAUCUAGAGUAUGGGAGGGGGAGAUGGAAUUAGUGGUGUAGGGGUAAAAUCCGUAGAUAUCACUAGGAAUACCUAAAGCGAAGGCGAUCUCCUGGAACAUUACUGACGCUAAGGCGUGAAAGCGUGGGGAGCAAACAGGAUUAGAUACCCUCGUAGUC
rnacentral:rRNA from 1 species